UUGAUAUCGAAAAGGAAAGAACUUAUUGAGCAUAAUAGCUUAUAACUUAAUCGCUAAUGCUAUAAGCUCUUUACAUCAUAAGCAUUUGUGUAAGGUGGUGUAUAUGCAAACGGGCCAAAAUCCCAUUUUCUUUGGCGGGAGACAUGGAAGAAAAUGACCGGAACGAAGAAUCCGAUUCUGAUAAUACAGCCACUAUGACUAUGAGUACAAUUUCUCAGCACAAUUUCAACGACGACUCUGAAACUCUCACUAUUUCCAUUAUCGAGAAUAUGAGCGAGGAUUACGGCUUAUACGUCUGGCCUUCUGCUGUAAUUCUCGGCGAGUAUAUUUGGCAAGAAAAGCACCGAUUCUCAGGAGCUAACGUUGUUGAGCUUGGUGCUGGAACUUGCUUACCUGGUUUGGUUGCGGCAAAAGUUGGUGCCAAUGUCACUCUUACUGAUGACUCCACCAGAUUAGAGGUGCUUGAUAACAUGAGAAGAGUUUGCGACUUGAAUAAACUUGAGUGCAAUGUGCUAGGACUGACAUGGGGAGUUUGGGAUUCGUCCAUAUUUGAUUUACGACCUACAAUUAUUCUAGGCGCUGACGUGUUGUAUGACUCAAAUGCUUUUGAUGACCUCUUUGCCACUGUGACAUUCCUGCUCCAAAAUUCACCUGGAUCAAUUUUUAUAACUUCAUACCAUAAUAGAAGUGGGCAUCACCUUAUCGAGUUCUUGAUGCGAAAAUGGGGGUUGAAGUGUCUCAAGCUUCUUGAUGGAUUUUCUAUCCUACCAUCCUUCAAGGCUUCUCAGCUAAGUGGUAACAUUCAAUUGGUGGAGAUAGCUCUAACAUCGAAAGAUAAUGCUUGAGCAACUACCAAGCAGCAAACUUUUUGGAUGGGGCGGUUUGGCACGCAUUAAGGAGUUUUCUAGCAUUAUGUAUUUCAACUGCUUUAAAAAUUAUAUUUGGGCUUGAUUUGAUUUGCUCUUUGGAAUCACCAGUCCUUCCUAACUUCUUGCCCACCAUUGAUACUACUCAUUUUUAUCAUGGACUUGGCAAAAGCAUCAAAGAAAGCCUUUUGUGAGGCGGCAAACUUAGAAACCAAUUGCUUGGUCUUUGGGCUGUCAAGCAAAGCCUGAUCAGAAGAAAACAAGCCUUUUUGUUGGAGGAUCAACUUGUAAUAUGUAUUAUCGAAAUUUGUUGCAGAAGGGUCCAUAGUGGUGCCAGCAUUUUUGGCCUUAUUUUUCAACGGACAAAUUGAUUUUAGUUUUGCUGCAAAUGAUUGAUGUAACGAAGGGUCCACGUCAUGUGUAGCAUUAAAGUUUUGGAUUCUGUUCUGGAAAGAUGAGCAGUGAGAGAAGCCUAAGGUAUGCCCUCCUACAUAUGGGUCAAAACAUGUUACUUCAAACUCCAUUAAGAUAUAAAUGAAAGCAUGAAAAAUGGUGAAGUUUUGAUGUUUUUUAACUUUAGGAAUAGCUUACCUGACAGAGCUACCAAGUCUUCCACAGACAAUGCUCUUUGUGAGAAGCUUUGCUGCAGCUGUGAUAUGUUGAAUGUUGGUGCUGGUAAUUGUCUUGUUUCACUGGCCUUAGAUGUUCUUCCAUCUUUUCUUCCUUUUGGAACAUUCCAUUUAGGUCCUCCAGACUGUAGAAUAUACAUAGAUGUACCAUCAGUUAUCAGUUGAAACUUACAAAUACAAGUUUCCAUAUCUACAUGUUUCAAUUCUAAAGUAAACAGCAUAACAGAGUCUCAAUGAAAGAGAGCUUUGGUUCUUGGCUUUGUUUUAUUACCAGAUAAACUGCGUCCCUUGCUGCGAGAGCAAGAAUAUCAGCACAAGAAACUACACCAGGGCAUUUAGCUUCUAAUGCUUUCUUUGCUUCAUCAAUGACAUAGAAUGCAUGCAAUGAAAUGUUUGGCGGUCCAUCCUUUUCUGCUUUGUUUUUUCCUUUUGAAUUUAGCAGCACAGAUGCAUCACACCCCUUCAAAAGUAUAGGAAAAAACGACACAUGCAAAUGAAAAAUCAAAUUUAUAGAUGGUGUGCGGGAAAAGGAAACAGAAAAGGAAAAAAACAAUGUCAAGAAGAAAGGAGUUCAAUAUAGCAAUACUCGAACGAAGCAAUCAUGGAAGUGCAUUCGGAGAAGUGCUGCUGGAACAGUUUUGUCCCUAGCAGUAGCAUCCGUCACAGUCUUCAAAACUAUAUACUCCAGAUCAUGGCAUGAUUUUUCAUAGUAGUUUAAGCUGAGUGAUUUUCCUGUAGAAACCACUGAAAAAAUGAUAAUCAAAUUCAAGAAUGUAACCAUGACAGCCAUGUCAAUUAAGAGUACUUUGAUUAUUUUUUA